GACGAACGCUGGCGGCGUGCCUAACACAUGCAAGUCGAGCGGGGAUUUAAGUGGAAGUUCUUCGGAAUGGAGAUUUAAAUUCUAGCGGCGGACGGGUGGGUAACGCGUGAACAAUCUGUCCCGGACAGGGGGAUAACACUUGGAAACAGGUGCUAAUACCGCAUAAGACCACGGCCUCGCAUGGGGCUGAGGUAAAAGGAGCAAUCCGGUUCGGGGUGAGUUCGCGUCCGAUUAGCUAGUUGGUGAGGUAACGGCCCACCAAGGCGACGAUCGGUAGCCGGCCUGAGAGGGUGAACGGCCACAUGGGAACUGAGAGACGGUCCAAACUCCUACGGGAGGCAGCAGUGGGGAAUAUUGGGCAAUGGGCGAAAGCCUGACCCAGCAACGCCGCGUGAGGGAAGAAGGUUUUCGGAUUGUAAACCUCUGUCCUAUGGGACGAAGGAAGUGACGGUACCAUAGGAGGAAGCCCCGGCUAACUACGUG
rnacentral:rRNA from 1 species